AUGAACUUGGCAAAGUGUUUCAUGACCCCUCCACAUGUGCACUUUAUAGAACAAAGGAAACUACAGAAAACUCUGAUAACUACACAUGCAGUAAUCACAGGAUGCCUUAACAGAUUUUACAACCUAUUCAGUGAAAACAAACAAAAGAUGGGCUGGGAAUUCAAGAAGCAAAAUGUUCUCACCCACAAAGACCAGGUUGCUGUAAUUCUCCAACAGCACAUCAAUGCACAAAGCCCUCUGAGCAGAGUCCAGGCAUUCCCACUCCUCCCGGGAGAAGUCCACUGCUACAUCCCUGAAUGUCAACACACCCUGAAAUAAAAAAGUAUGGUUUGACCAAGUGCUACUUGGAUGUGUUUUCCUGGCUACAAGGUGAAACAAUUUAGUGAAGAAGGCAAGAUAAUUACUCAAAAAUAGGAUUUCUCAAUACAGUCACAUUCUAUCAUGAAUGAUGUAAAUCAAAACAAGAUGAAACAAGUCUUACAAGAA
rnacentral:lncRNA from 1 species